GACGAACGCUGGCGGCGCGCCUAACACAUGCAAGUCGAACGGAGCUGAGAGAAGCUUGCUUUUCUUAGCUUAGUGGCGAACGGGUGAGUAACGCGUGAUUAACCUGCCCUGGAGUGGGGGACAACAAUUGGAAACGACUGCUACUACCGCAUAAGCCCACGAUCCGGCAUCGGCUUGAGGGAAAAGGAUUUAUUCGCUUCAGGAUGGACUCGCGUCCAAUUAGCUAGUUGGUGAGGUAACGGCCCACCAAGGCGACGAUUGGUAGCCGGACUGAGAGGUUGAACGGCCACAUUGGGACUGAGACACGGCCCAGACUCCUACGGGAAGCAGCAGUGGGGGAUAUUGCACAAUGGGGGAAAGCCUGAUGCAGCGACGCCGCGUGGAGGAAGAAGGUUUUAGGAUUGUAAACUUCUGUCGUUAGGGACGAUAAUGACGGUACCUAACAAGAAAGCACCGGCUAACUACGUG
rnacentral:rRNA from 1 species